rnacentral:lncRNA from 1 species
AUGGUUGCACCUGCUCGGAGCCCGUUCUCAUCCUGGAAACCGGCCGCACCUGGGCGAGCGAGGCAAGGCCAAUUUCCUGCCUGGGCAACGCCGGGCCCUGCGAGCCACAGGCGGGUCCUGGGAGGAGAACGGGCUCUGAGGGGGCGACCGAGCCGAGGGAACUGGACACGGGUGCCAUUUGAAGCGUUGAGCCGGACAGGCCGGUGGGUCUGGCGGCCGGCACCGCUGUCCGGGCUGCGCGGAGCCGGAGACAGAAAAGGGACUGGCUUUGUCCGGCAGCCCUGCCACGGCCGGUACAUGUGGAAGCCCGAUAAGUUGGUUUGGAAGCGGCGGUUCCCGAGGAGCCAGCGGAGGCAGGGCUUCGUGCAUGGCCGGGCAGCCGCUCCUGCAGCCCCGCCGGCGGCUGCGCGGCUCCGAGGCAACGCCGCUGCCGAGCGGGGAGAGCAGAGCCCUGCCCGGGGUCAGCGGGGCUGCUCGCCCAGCUCUGCCAGCGGCACUGCUGCCCCCGGCAGCGAGCCCUUGCCCGCAUCCUUCCUGCGAGCUGGAGACGGAGACCGGCGAGAGCUGGAGAGCCCCGGCUGGAGCCGAGCGGAGAGCUGCAACAGGAUCCAUUGCAAAGCACAUCCAGAAAUGGAAGACCUUUAUUCUUUCUUACUCUUGAGAAAGAUCUGUCAAGUCAGUAAGUGGUUUGAUUGAAUGAGAGCAGUGAAACUAGUCCAUGGUGGAAGACUUUUAAAAAGAGGCUCUGAACUGAACAGCUACCCCCUGACGACUUUCUAGAAGGGAACAUAGGCAAAAUUGAGCCACGGAGUUCUAAAGCUAAAAUCUUAAAAGUUCCCUUAACCUUAGUUCAAGGGUUGGCACCUCAAAUUUUGGCCAGCAUAACUCUUCCAGCACCUGAAAUUAUACUUUUUCCAUUGAAACAGGCUGAAGUCCAGACAGGACUCAAGUACCUUGACAUGUAGACCCAUGUCAGCUGUGUUCUCCCUAAUAUUAAUAAAUUUUAACAUGUAUUUCUCCUAUGGUGAAAU